UACGUAGGCAGCAAGCGUUGUUCGGAAUUACUGGGCGUAAAGCGCGCGUAGGCGGACUUGCAAGUCGGUGGUGAAAGCCCACGGCUCAACCGUGGAGGGUCAUUGGAAACUGGGGGACUUGAGUGCAGGAGAGAAGAGUGGAAUUCCACGUGUAGCGGUGAAAUGCGUAGAGAUGUGGAGGAACACCAGUGGCGAAGGCGACUCUUUGGGCUGUAACUGACGCUGAGGAGCGAAAGCGUGGGGAGCAAACAGG
rnacentral:rRNA from 1 species